rnacentral:rRNA from 1 species
UACAGAGGGUGCGAGCGUUGUCCGGAAUCACUGGGCGUAAAGGGCGCGUAGGCGGCCUGGUAAGUAGGGGGUGAAAUCCUGCAGCUCAACUGCGGGGCUGCCUCCUAGACUGCCUGGCUUGAGCACAGCAGAGGCUAGUGGAAUUCCCGGUGUAGCGGUGGAAUGCGUAGAGAUCGGGAAGAACAUCGGUGGCGAAGGCGGCUAGCUGGGCUGUUGCUGACGCUGAUGCGCGACAGCGUGGGGAGCAAGCAGG